AACGUAGGUGGCAAGCGUUGUCCGGAUUUACUGGGCGUAAAGGGCGUGCAGGCGGUUUGUUAAGUUCAGGGUGAAAGCUCCCGGCUCAACUGGGAGAGGUCCUUGGAUACUGGCAGACUUGAGGAGGGUAGAGGAGAGUGGAAUUCCCGGUGUAGUGGUGAUAUGCGUAGAUAUCGGGAGGAACACCAGUGGCGAAGGCGGCUCUCUGGGCCCUACCUGACGCUGAGACGCGAAAGCGUGGGGAGCGAACCGG
rnacentral:rRNA from 1 species